GAUGAACGCUGGCGGCGUGCCUAAUACAUGCAAGUCGAGCGAACGGACGAGAAGCUUGCUUUUCUGACGUUAGCGGCGGACGGGUGAGUAACACGUGGAUAACCUACCUAUAAGACUGGGAUAACUUCGGGAAACCGGAGCUAAUACCGGAUAAUAUUUUGAACCGCAUGGUUCAAAAGUGAAAGACGGUCUUGCUGUCACUUAUAGAUGGAUCCGCGCUGCAUUAGCUAGUUGGUAAGGUAACGGCUUACCAAGGCAACGAUGCAUAGCCGACCUGAGAGGGUGAUCGGCCACACUGGAACUGAGACACGGUCCAGACUCCUACGGGAGGCAGCAGUAGGGAAUCUUCCGCAAUGGGCGAAAGCCUGACGGAGCAACGCCGCGUGAGUGAUGAAGGUCUUCGGAUCGUAAAACUCUGUUAUUAGGGAAGAACAUAUGUGUAAGUAACUGUGCACAUCUUGACGGUACCUAAUCAGAAAGCCACGGCUAACUACGUG
rnacentral:rRNA from 1 species